CAAGCUACUAAGGGCAAUCGGUGGAUGCCUAGGCACCAAGAGCCGAUGAAGGACGUUGUGACCUGCGAUAAGCCCUGGGGAGUUGGUGAGCGAGCUGUGAUCCGGGGGUGUCCGAAUGGGGAAACCUGGAAUGUCCGGAGUAGUGUCCGGUGGCCCUGCCCUGAAUGUAUAGGGGUGUGGGUGGUAACGCGGGGAAGUGAAACAUCUUAGUACCCGUAGGAAGAGAAAACAAGUGUGAUUCCGUGAGUAGUGGCGAGCGAAAGCGGAGGAGGCUAAACCGUGUGUGUGUUCAAGCCGGCAGGUGUUGCAUGUGCGGGGUUGUGGGGGCCUUGUGGUUCUGCUGCCGCAGGAUUGGCCAGUGAGAAAUGUUGCGUGAAGGUGAAGCGUCUGGGAAGGCGUACCGGAGUGGGUGAGAGUCCUGUAACUGUAAGCGUGGCACUGGUGUGGGGUUGCCCCGAGUAGCGUGGAACUCGUGGAAUUUCGCGUGAAUCUGGCGGGACCACCCGUCAAGCCUAAAUACUCCUUGGUGACCGAUAGCGGACUAGUACCGUGAGGGAAAGGUGAAAAGUACCCCGGGAGGGGAGUGAAAUAGUACCUGAAACCGUGUGCCUACAAACCGUCGGAGCCCUACAAGGUGACGGCGUGCCUUUUGAAGAAUGAGCCUGCGAGUUAGUGUUACGUCGCGAGGUUAACCCGUGAGGGGUAUCCGUAGCGAAAGCGAGUCUGAACAGGGCGAGUGAGUGGCGUGAUCUAGACCCGAAGCGAAGUGAUCUACCCAUGGCCAGGUUGAAGCGCGUGUAAGAGCGCGUGGAGGACCGAACCCACUUCAGUUGAAAAUGGAGGGGAUGAGCUGUGGGUAGGGGUGAAAGGCUAAACAAACUUGGAAAUAGCUGGUUCUCUCCGAAAACUAUUUAGGUAGUGCCUCACGUAUUACCUUCGGGGGUAGAGCACUGUUUUGGCUAGGGGGUCAUGGCGACUUACCAAACCAAGGCAAACUCCGAAUACCGAAGAGUAGCAGCGUGGGAGACAGUGCACCGGGUGCUAACGUCCGGACACGAGAGGGAAACAACCCAGACCGCC
rnacentral:rRNA from 1 species